rnacentral:SRP_RNA from 1 species
GCCAGGCGUGGUGGUGCACGCCUGUAAUCCCAGCUACUAAGGAGGCUGAGGCAGGAGAAUUGCUUGAACUCAGGAGGCAGAGGUUGCAGUGAGCUGGGAUCGCCCCACUGCACUGCAGCCUGGGUGACAAAGCAAGACUCUGUCUCAA